rnacentral:rRNA from 1 species
UGAGGAAUAUUGGGCAAUGCCCGCAAGGGUGACCCAGCAACGCCGCGUGGAGGAUGAAUGUCGUAAGAUUGUAAACUCCUGUUAGAGGGGAAGAAUAGUACCGGUUGGACCGGUAUAUGACUGUACCCUCAGAGAAAGCCCCGGCUAACUACGUGCCAGCAGCCGCGGUAAUACGUAGGGGGCAAGCGUUGUCCGGAUUUACUGGGUGUAAAGGGCGCGCAGGCGGGAUAAAAAGUCAGUGGUGAAAUCCUACAGCUUAACUGUAGAACUGCCUUUGAUACUUUUAUUCUUGAGUUCGGGAGAGAGAGACGGAAUUCCAGGUGUGGUGGUGAAAUACGUAGAUAUCUGGAAGAACACCAGUUGCGAAGGCGGUCUCUUGGUCCGACACUGACGCUGAGGCGCGGAAGCGUGGGGAGCAAACA